rnacentral:rRNA from 1 species
AUUGAACGCUGGCGGCAGGCCUAACACAUGCAAGUCGAACGAGUGGCGGACGGGUGAGUAAUGUCUGGGAAACUGCCUGAUGGAGGGGGAUAACUACUGGAACCGGUAGCUAAUACCGCAUACAAUCAGAUGUGGCCAGAUGGGAUUGGCUAGUUGGUGGGGUAACGGCUCACCAAGGCGACGAUCCGUAGCUGGUCUGGGAGGAUGAACAGCCACACUGGAACUGAGACACGGUCCAGACGCCUACGGGAGGCAGCAGUGGGGAAUAUUGCACUAUGGGCGCAAGCCUGAUGCAGCCAUGCCGCGUGUAUGAAGAAGGCCUUAGGGUUUUAAAGUACUUACAGUGUGGAGGCGUUACCCGCAGAAGAAGCACCGGCUAACUCCGUGCCAGCAGCCGCGGUAAUUC